UAGAGUUUGAUCCUGGCUCAGAUCGAACGCUGGCGGCAUGCUUUACACAUGCAAGUCGUACGCGGGUGAGGGGCAACUCUCACCUGAGUGGCGAACGGGUGAGUAAUACAUCGGAACGUGUCCCGUAGUGGGGGAUAGCUCGGCGAAAGCCGGAUUAAUACCGCAUAUGCUCUACGGAGGAAAGCGGGGGAUCCGCAAGGACCUCGCGCUAUGGGAGCGGCCGAUGUCCGAUUAGCUUGUUGGUGGGGUAACGGCUUACCAAGGCGACGAUCGGUAGCUGGUCUGAGUGGAUGAUCAGCCACACUGGGACUGAGACACGGCCCAGACUCCUACGGGAGGCAGCAGUGGGGAAUUUUGGACAAUGGGGGAAACCCUGAUCCAGCCAUGCCGCGUGAGUGAAGAAGGCCUUCGGGUUGUAAAGCUCUUUUGGCCGGAAAGAAAAGGCUACGGAUAACACCCGUGGUCCUUGACGGUACCGGCAGAAUAAGCACCGGCUAACUACGUGCCAGCAGCCGCGGUAAUACGUAGGGUGCGAGCGUUAAUCGGAAUUACUGGGCGUAAAGAGUGCGUAGGCGGUCCCGCAAGUCCGCUGUGAAAGCCCCGGGCUUAACCUGGGAAUGGCAGUGGAAACUAUGGGACUUGAAUCUGGCAGAGGGGGGUGGAAUGCCACGUGUAGCAGUGAAAUGCGUACAGAUGUGGCGGAACACCGAUGGCGACGCAGCCCCUGGGCUGAGAUGACGCUCAGCACGAAGCGUGGGGAGCAAACAGGAUUAGAUACCUGGUAGUCACGCUCUAACGAUGACAACUAGUGUGGGUAGCGAUUUCUCAGACCUCAGCCUCACCGCCUUGACGUUGUCCGCCUGGGGGAGUA
rnacentral:rRNA from 1 species